rnacentral:rRNA from 1 species
AUUGAACGCUGGCGGCAGGCUUAACACAUGCAAGUCGAGCGGAGUGAUGGUGCUUGCACUAUCACUUAGCGGCGGACGGGUGAGUAAUGCUUAGGAAUCUGCCAUUUAGUGGGGGACAACAUUCCGAAAGGAAUGCUAAUACCGCAUACGUCCUACGGGAGAAAGCAGGGGAUCUUCGGACCUUGCGCUAAAUGAUGAGCCUAAGUCGGAUUAGCUAGUUGGUGGGGUAAAGGCCUACCAAGGCGACGAUCUGUAGCGGGUCUGAGAGGAUGAUCCGCCACACUGGGACGGAGACACGGCCCAGACUCCUACGGGAGGCAGCAGUGGGGAAUAUUGGACAAUGGGCGGAAGCCUGAUCCAGCCAUGCCGCGUGUGUGAAGAAGGCCUUUUGGUUGUAAAGCACUUUAAGCGAGGAGGAGGCUCUCCUAGUUAAUACCUAGGAAGAGUGGACGUUACUCGCAGAAUAAGCACCGGCUAACUCUGUGCCAGCAGCCGCAGUAA